rnacentral:rRNA from 1 species
GAUGAACGCUGGCGGCGUGCCUAAUACAUGCAAGUCGAGCGAACAGACGAGGAGCUUGCUCCUUCGACGUUAGCGGCGGACGGGUGAGUAACACGUAGGUAACCUACCUAUAAGACUGGGAUAACUUCGGGAGACCGGAGCUAAUACCGGAUAAUAUUUCGAACCGCAUGGUUCGAUAGUGAAAGAUGGCUUUUCUAUCACUUAUAGAUGGACCUGCGCCGUAUUAGCUAGUUGGUAAGGUAACGGCUUACCAAGGCAACGAUACGUACCCGACCUGAGCGCGUGAUCGGCCAGACUGGAACUGAGACACGGUCCAGACUCCUACGGGAGGCAGCAGUAGGGAAUCUUCCGCAAUGGGCGAAAGCCUGACGGAGCAACGCCGCGUGAGUGAUGAAGGUCUUCGGAUCGUAAAACUCUGUUAUUAGGGAAGAACAAACGUGUAAGUAACUGUGCACGUCUUGACGGUACCUAAUCAGAAAGCCACGGCUAACUACGUG